GCGUCGGCUGCUCGAUCAGGUCGAUGCCUGCCGCUUCGAGUGCGGCGAUGCCGGUCGCGGCAUCCGCUUCGUUCCACGCCUGGUUGACGUCC
rnacentral:tRNA from 1 species